rnacentral:rRNA from 1 species
UAAGUGGGGGAUAGCCCAGGGAAACUUGGAUUAAUACCCCGUAAUAUUAUGGAGGCAUCAUUUUAUAAUUAUAGCUACGGCGCUUAAAGAUGGGCGUGCGGCUGAUUAGGUUUGGCGGGGUAACGGCCCACCAAGCCAUCGAUCAGUAACUGGUGUGAGAGCACGACCACACACGGGCACUGAGACACGGGCCCGACUCCUACGGGAGGCAGCAGUAAGGAAUAUUGCAAUGGACGCAAGUCUGAACCAGCCAUGCUGCGUGGAGGAUGAAGGCCCUCUGGGUUGAACUUCUUUUAUUUGGGAAGAAACCCAUCCUUUCUAGGGUGGCUGACGGUACCAGAUGUAAGCACCGGCUAACUCCGUGCCAGCAGCCGCGGUAAUACGGAGGGUGCAAGCGUUAUGGAUUCACUGGGUUUAAAGGGUGCGUAGGUGGGCAGGUAAGUCAGUGGUGAAAUCUCUGCUUAACUUAGAAACUGCCGUUGAUACUAUCUGUCUUGAAUAUCGUGGAGGUGAGCGGUAUGUCAUGUAGCGGUGAAAUGCUUAGAUAUGACAUAGAACACCAAUUGCGAAGGCAGCGCUACACGGUUAUUGACACUGAGGCACGAAAGCGUGGGGAUCAAACAGGAUUAGAUACUGGUAGUCCACGCCCUAAACGAUGGAUACUCGACAUGUACGAUACACAGUAUGUGUC